rnacentral:rRNA from 1 species
GUGGGGAAUUUUGGACAAUGGGGGCAACCCUGAUCCAGCAAUGCCGCGUGCAGGAAGAAGGCCUUCGGGUUGUAAACUGCUUUUGUACGGAACGAAGAGGCUCUGGUUAAUACCUGGGGCACAUGACGGUACCGUAAGAAUAAGCACCGGCUAACUACGUGCCAGCAGCCGCGGUAAUACGUAGGGUGCAAGCGUUAAUCGGAAUUACUGGGCGUAAAGCGUGCGCAGGCGGUGCUGUAAGACAGGCGUGAAAUCCCCGGGCUUAACCUGGGAAUGGCGCUUGUGACUGCAGUGCUGGAGUACGGCAGAGGGGGAUGGAAUUCCGCGUGUAGCAGUGAAAUGCGUAGAUAUGCGGAGGAACACCGAUGGCGAAGGCAGUCCCCUGGGCCUGUACUGACGCUCAUGCACGAAAGCGUGGGGAGCAAACAGGAUUAGAAACCCUGGUAGUCC